rnacentral:rRNA from 1 species
CCCGUGGGAAAUCUAGAGCUAAUACAUGCGUUCAAAUUAUGGGGUACUGAGCAAUCAGUGCCUCAUAAAGCAUUUAUUGGUUAAAACCAACUACUGGUGUGUGUAAAAGCAUAUCAGUGUGGAUGAAUCUAGAUAACUUUGCUGAUCGUAGUGGCGUAAUUGCCGGCGACGUUUCAGUUGAAUUUCUGCCCUAUCAAUUGGUUGGUAAGGUAGUGGCUUACCAAGGUUGUAACGGGUAACGGGGGAUCAGGGUUCGAUUCCGGAGAGGGAGCCUGAGAAACGGCUACCACAUCCAAGGAAGGCAGCAGGCGCGCAAAUUACCCAAUCCAGACAGUGGGAGGUGGCGACGAGAAUUACUGAGUGGUAGCCUUAAUGGUUAUCGACUUAGAAUGAACGUGAUUUAAGAAAUCCGUUGAGUAACAACUGGAGGGCAAGUCUGGUGCCAGCAGCCGCGGUAAUUCCAGCUCCAGUAGCGUACCUCAAAGUUGCUGCGUUUAAAACGCUCGUAGUUGGAUCACAUGGUUAGGCCUAGUGAAUUAGCGUGUUAGUACGCUAAAUCCUCAAGUGUAGAUGUGACGGUGUGUUAUCGCCGUUGCAGUUUAUAUGUUGUGGAGUACUGCACGUUGAUUGUUAGCUAGGCUUAACUGAUUGCGUAUGGGGAUAGCAGUUGACCUUAAGUGAGUCGAUUGUUGUGUCCCAUAGAGUGUGCCUUGAAUAAAACAGAGUGCUCAAAGCAGGCUUGAUGCCUGAAUGUUAACAGCAUGGAACGAACAAUUGUGGCAACAUGAUAUUGUCGCAACUGGCAAUGUACUUAUUUGUAUGUUGUCAUGUUGUGGCAGUAUCAUAGCAC